UAGGGAAUCUUCCACAAUGGGCGAAAGCCUGAUGGAGCAACGCCGCGUGUGUGAUGAAGGCUUUAGGGUCGUAAAGCACUGUUGUAUGGGAAGAAAUGCUAGAAUAGGGAAUGAUUCUAGUUCGACGGUACCAUACCAGAAAGGGACGGCUAAAUACGUGCCAGCAGCCGCGGUAAUACGUAUGUCCCGAGCGUUAUCCGGAUUUAUUGGGCGUAAAGCGAGCGCAGACGGUUGAUUAAGUCUGAUGUGAAAGCCCGGAGCUCAACUCCGGAAUGGCAUUGGAAACUGGUUAACUUGAGUGUUGUAGAGGUAAGUGGAACUCCAUGUGUAGCGGUGGAAUGCGUAGAUAUAUGGAAGAACACCAGUGGCGAAGGCGGCUUACUGGACAACAACUGACGUUGAGGCUCGAAAGUGUGGGUAGCAAACAGGAUUAGAUACCCUGGUAGUCCACACCGUNNCGAUGAAUACUAGGUGUUAGGAGGUUUCCGCCUCUUAGUGNCGAAGCUAACGCAUUAAGUAUUCCGCCUGGGGAGUACGACCGCAAGGUUG
rnacentral:rRNA from 1 species